GAUGAACGCUGGCGGCGUGCCUAAUACAUGCAAGUCGAGCGAAGCGAGGGGGGGGGAGUAACACGUGGAUAACCUCCUAUACGUAUGGGAUAACUUGGGGGAACCGGUGCUAAACCGGAUACUUAGAUGUGGCUCAGCGCUGCAUUAGCUAGUGGGUCAGGUAACGGCUUACCAAGGCAACGAUGCAUAGCCGACCGGAGAGGGUGAUCGGCCACACUGGAACUGAGACACGGUCCAGACUCCUACGGGAGGCAGCAGUAGGGAAUCUUCCGCAAUGGGCGAAAGCCUGACGGAGCAACGCCGCGUGAGUGAAGAAGGUCUUCGGAUCGUAAAACUCUGUUAUUAGGGAAGCGGUACCUAAUCAGAAAGCCACGGCUAACUACGUGCCAGCAGCCGCGGUAAUAC
rnacentral:rRNA from 1 species